rnacentral:rRNA from 1 species
UACGGAGGAUCCAAGCGUUAUCCGGAUUUAUUGGGUUUAAAGGGUGCGUAGGCGGCCUAUUAAGUCAGGGGUGAAAGACGGUAGCUCAACUAUCGCAGUGCCUUUGAUACUGAUGGGCUUGAAUACAGUUGAAGUGGGCGGAAUGUGACAAGUAGCGGUGAAAUGCAUAGAUAUGUCACAGAACACCGAUUGCGAAGGCAGCUCACUAAAGUGUGGUUGACACUGAGGCACGAAAGCGUGGGGAUCAAACAGG